rnacentral:rRNA from 1 species
UACAGAGGUCUCAAGCGUUAUUCGGAUUCAUUGGGCGUAAAGGGUGCGUAGGCGGCGCGGUAAGUCGGGUGUGAAAUCUCGGAGCUUAACUCCGAAACUGCAUUCGAUACUGCGGUGCUUGAGGACUGGAGAGGAGACUGGAAUUCAUGGUGUAGCAGUGAAAUGCGUAGAGAUCAUGAGGAAGACCAGUGGCGAAGGCGGGUCUCUGGACAGUUCCUGACACUGAGACACGAAGGCCAGGGGAGCAAGCGGG